AAUUAUGCUAUGAAAUUCGUCCGUGGGAUAUUAACCAAGUAUGUCCAUUUUGAUUUUCUAUACUUUGAGUUCUAGCUAUUAAAAUAUCUUUUCAUUUUCCAAGUCUGUUACAUGUAAGUUGAAAUGCCGACCGUUUGCUCGCUUAUGGUGGGAUGAAUUUGUAUCAACAGUAGGGACAAGAGCAGAACCUCACAAACGGGUUUUAACACUUACUCUCUUUCUCGAGCAUUGUAUAAUUAAUCUCUUGAUCAAAAAAUCGACCAACUUGAGAUUUAAAUUAUUUUGUUUUUGUAGGCUAUGCUUCAUCUGGAGCAAGACUGGGUAUUGACAGUCCGUGAAAACGCAAGGUUACAAGGGUUCCCUGACUAGUACAAAUUUUGGGGGCCUGUUAAGGAAAGGUAUAUACAAGUAGGGAAUGCUGUUGCAUUUCCAGUAUCCAUGGCAUUCGGAAGUAUGUUGGCAAAGGGAAGCCAAGGAGUCUCAAAUAAUGAACCCUUGACAACAACUGAUCUGAAAUUCCCUCUGAGUCUUGCACAAUUGUCUGCGUGAAUAGCAUUGGAUUAAUUAUCCAUUCUUAAACAAGGCUACGCGGUGCUCAAAGGAUAAUGAUUAUUAUGAAUCGGUGUCUUUUCCCUGAGCAAAUGAGGGAUUAUAGAACAAUAAAAAAUAUAUGAAGCCAGACUUAUUUUUAGCUUUUUCUUUUGGGCCUAGA